UUUCUAAACCCAGGAGCUGGGUUUGUCCGGCGUGCUGAUUGUAUAUUGCAAUAACGAAAAGCGGCCGCAUAGACUUACGAGCCUAGAUAACUGACUAGUUUUGCUUCUGCGGCGACGUGCACUGAAGUAUGUGCUUUUUGAAGUAUUGCGUUUGGUAA
rnacentral:misc_RNA from 1 species